CGGGUGGGUUUGCUUACAUACUAAGAAAACCUAGGGCCACUCCUGACCCUUGCCCUGCCUUAUUUAGCCUGUGUUUUGUAUCUUCUACCAGCUUCCUCUCUUUCCUUCUUAUGCACAGUUAGCUGUAAUUCUGGAACUUGUAGUGCUUCAGAAGCCAUGCUCAUUCUCUCCAAAUCUCCAUAUUUGGCAGGAAUGUUUCUAAUUAGUUUCAUUGUUGUCCCAAUUUUUAGCUGCUUUUAAAAUAUGCCAGUUUCUCUCUCCCUUUCACUUUUCCUUUUUGUCCUUGGUUUAUUUCAGUUUCUUCAAACUGAGUUCAAUGUACAAAUGUACAUGUAGUUUGUACUCGAUGCAAUGGGAGUAAAAGACCAGGAGGAGUCAGAAUCUUGCCCUUCCCUGUAGACCUGUUGUUCUCAACUCGUGGGUCCCCAGGUGUUUUGGCUUACAACUCCCAGAAAUCCCAGCCAGUUGACUAGCUGUUAAGAUUUCUGGGAGUUGAAGGCCAAAACAUCUGGGAACCCACAGGUUGAGAACCACUGCUGUAGACUCAAGCAAAAGCAGCCUCCCCUAGCUUGUCUGUCCUUCCUAAUUUAACAUCUGUCAUCUUGACCACACUCUGACAUGCCUUGCCAUUAGUGAAAUGUUGGAGUAAAUGCCAUGCCAUAUAGGAGAAGAGAAAUUUGUCUUUUUGUUUAACCACACUAAAAAAGGGUCUGGGUCAGCAACUCAUUUUACACAUUGUUCCAAAACUGGUUCUGAUUCGACCUAGGAAAUCUAUCUCACAACCUAUUUUUUCAUUUAAACCAAUUGUUGGGCAAAUACAUUGAUAAUAUACCCUUACAUAAAUCUGGGGAUUCUACAUUGAGUUAGGAAAUAUGUUCCAUAAAUAUUCUCACACAUGUUCAACAUUUAUCCCUGAUAUUUUCCUCUCAUAAUAAUGAUAUUUCAGUUUGGACUCAUCCUUGGAGUGUUCCCCUCUCAUCCUUGGGUCUUACCAGGAAACAUAGUGCAAAGGAUAAAUCCCCUUGUUUUACAGAUGCUGACAUUUGAUUUGCAGACUAUAGUUAGUAGAGAGCCAGACAGAUUCACCAAAGUCUUUAAUGCUGAUGAUUAAUCUGAUAUUGAUAACAAAACAACACAAUAUGUGCAGAAUGUGGAUAGGAAAAACCCAACUGCAUUUUGUUCUUACACAUUCCCAUUGCUAUUGAACAAAUCUUAGUCUGGAAUUAGCAUUGAAAUAGCCUAUAAAUUGUGUGUUAAAAUGUAAUCAAUAUUUGUAUUUGUGUUUGUGUUUGGGCAGCAAAUUCUGUGAAGAAAGCUUCAUGGGAUUUAUUUCUGCUUAGAUACCUGAAUGGUGGCCUUCAAAAUGUGUCAGUUGUAAUUUAAGAUUGGUGUUUAAUAUGGAAUAUGGAGAUCAAUCCAAUUGAUUUCAUUGAAUAAAAAAGUCCUUGUGAGGAUAUAUGAGUACACAUUUUUAAAUGCAACAAGCCCAAUAAUUGGUUUAAAUGUAAAAAUAAAUUGUGUCUAGAGAUAUGCAGCCCAGCCAUAGCUGAUGCUUUAUUGGUUUUUACAUUUCACUAACUGAUGGGCUUUCAUGUAAAAUCAAUAUUAUGCAGUCAAAUAUAUUUUGCUUUGUUAUGUUGUGGGUUCAGUUAGCUGAAGUACCAUUUUCAUGUCAGAGACCAAACCUUUAUUUUGCAAUAAACAUGCUUUAAAAUAAAAGGGAAAUUGAGAGGAUCACUUUUGCCUAAUAAAUAUUCCAAAGCUUUCAUUGCAAUAAGGUAUAGAUUUUAUCAUGCACUUCUUGUAGGUUGUAUGUGUCUUUGGGGUGGAGGGGGAUAUGUACAUUUUCUUGGCUAACUCCCAGGCUUUUAAUUAAGUCCCUGGCUAUUCCAUCCUUUAAAAGCAAUUGCCAUCUAUUAGAUGGAUCCCACAAAAAAGCAACAUUGGCAUCCUUGCUUAGCAGAGAAUGAAAGUAGGUUGAUAAUGCUGCACCUACCUGAAGCAGACAGCAAUGGCACAUUGUUUUGUAAUGGUGUGGAGGGGCAUAUGUUUUGUUCCCUUUGGGCAUUUUUGACAGUUGUAAUAGAAAUGAAAGACAGUUUUUCUUAGCAGAAGAAACUAUUGCUUUCCUUUCCUUCAGAUUGUAAUUCGUGGCUCACAGCAGGAGGCAGGGGGAGGUAUGGGGGAAAGAAGGACUGAAGAUCACAAAGUAAAGUGAACUGGACGUGAUCCUACUUGGUCUUGCUUGGAAUGUUACCUAACUGCAUUCCACAGAACUCACUGUCACAAGAGAAAGACCUUGGCAGGGCAAUGUAUUUGGAGCACAGACAUUGCAAGAAAUAGUAAAUAUAACUCAUUUAAAAUGGCUUGAAAUGUCAGUCCUCUCUUCAGAUGGCCAUAGCUUCUCAUAUUGCAAAAUGGCAAAUUUUACUUCAGGGCAGAAGGAUUGUGUUCCUAUGACCGAGAACUCGAAAAACCUCUUUGGUGCUUUACAUCUCAGGAGGACAAUGGAUGUUUUGUGAGAAUUCCAGCUACCAUAAAAUAGUGUCUCAGAGAGUUGAAUUCUCUCUUAUGUUUUCUCACUUUUCUUGCUGAUUGAACUCCACAGCACACACAAAUAUAUAUCUUCCUCCCUCUCCCCCUUCUUAUCAUCCUUCCACAAAAGCCCGGAAAAAGCAGGUGCAAUUUUACAGUCUUCUGAAUUACAAAGCUAUAAUUACUGAGGGAAUUUCAUAUUUUCAUGAAAGGAAGUUUCUUCUGUUACAGAGUUCUCAAACUGGAAAUUGGCAUUUCAGACCAGCUACUUCUUCCAACCCUGCAAUUCUGAAACACUCAAAAGGUUAAAAAAAUAAUAGACCUAAAAAUAAAUAUACAUGUCGCUUAUUGAAUUCAGUGGAGCAGAGAAUUCUUCUGGACUCACCGAUUCAGUUAGAGACCAGUUUUACACUUUUUUAGUCAUGAUUUAAAACAAUUGAGCACACGCCAUAAACAUCGAGUCAUUGGAAAUGAAGUCUGGUGAACCAUUCAUGACCCAACUGAACUAAUACGUUAGAAUAUUAUAGCUUUAGAAUAUGUGAAGUGAAUAGCAAGUCUGCUCACAAGUCACUCUGGCAGAGCAAUGGCUGAAAGCAUUUACAUAAAAAUGUAUGUUUUUGUUGAACCAAGGGUAUGUUUAUAGCAUAUGAAAUGGCCAAGUUUGUCAAGUGACCUAGACAAAAGCUAAAGGGAAAACAUGCUGUUGUGGACACAGCUCAACUUUUUUCCUAAAAGACUACAAAGUCAAAAGAUAUGAGUAGGAUCUGCAAGAAGAGGUUGCAGUGUAGACUUUUCCCAUUGUUUCAGGGAAUGUGACCCAAGUCAAUUGAUUCAAAUCACUAGAAAGGAGUUUAAUUUUGCUAAUCAUGAGAAUGAAUAUACUCCUUGUUAAAUCUAUUCAACAGAGGAAUGGGCUGCCUCAAAGAAUAGUGAUGCUCUUUCACUGAAAUUAUUUAAACAAAAGAUGAAAAGCCACCUGCCAGGGAUGAUUUAGAGAUGGAUUUUCUACAUUGGCAGAAGCGUGGGCUGUACCAGAUGAGGCUUGGGAUAUUUUUUAGUGCUAUGAUUCCAUUAUUCUAGCAACUUCCAUAUAUUUUCCUCUCAUUGCAUUCUCAAAGCACCAUGGUCAAUUCCCACUGUACUGUGUUGCAUACUACCUAUUCUUUUUAACCUUGCCUUCUUCCUCCAUCCCUGUGUUGUGCUGGCUCCAAUGAGGAAAGCAUUGCCAAGAGGUAGCUGUGCCAAGAGGUGACAGAUUUGCUCUGCUGCCCUUCUUUUUGCAGUGGUCAGGCAAAGCGGGAUGCUUCGCCUGGCCUUUCUGAUGAGACCCUAAGUUCCACUGAACUCAACCAAGGACAGGAAACCAGGAAAGUUGGCUCAGCAAGCAAGCAUUGGAAAUCUGGCAUCUUCGGAGCAGUCAUGACCUAAUUCAGAUCUGUUCCAUCCAUCUCUAGUUUUUCAGAUGUUUUUAAAAAAUAAAGACUUAAAAAACCUUCUUGAAUAUGGCCCAAACGGAAUCUGAGCCAGAAACAUUUUUUGGAAAUGAAAGUAAUGUGGGCAUUUGGCAUCAUACCACUUUAAAAGAAAACUGUUACUCUACACCAAAACUAUCUUAAAUGCAGUUGUUGAAUGAAAUCCAAUAGAGUACUUCUGCCAGAAGAAUGAAUAAUAUUGGCAAACAGACUAAUCUUCCCCAUUCAGUUCUCUCAUGGAUCCAGAAUAAACUGCAGAAGGCUGGGGACUUUUAGUAGAAGAGGGGGAAAGAGGCAGGAGAAGUCCUAUUGUAUGGCUGGAAAUUCAUUUGCAUGAUGUUGUGUUUUGCACAGUCUCCUGGAAUGGAUGAGUGCAAUAAGUGAAAAAAGAGUGGCUCUGCCACCUGGCUUACAGUUUAAAAGGACAAGGUGCCCAAAUAUGCGGGGUGGAGAAAAAAAAAUCAAAGAUCAGUUCUUUAAUGUUUACAUCAAUUUUCAAGGUUUUAUACGUGUCCUUGAGAAUACGGAAUAUGGUAGCUGUUCUAUAAUAUGUAGAUGUCUCACCACUAGCUACUUUCAGUGGGACAAUGGAUUCUAUGAACAGAAAGAUGGGGAGCCCUCUCAGCCCAGUAGUAGCAAAUUUCUAUAUGGAACACUUUGAAAAACAAGCCCUAGAAACAGCACCAAAAAAGCCAACUGUAUGGUUCAGAUAUGUUGAUGUCACCUUUACCAUUUGGAGCCAUGAGGAAGAGGAACUCAACAAGUUCCUGGACCACCUCAACAGCAUCCACCCAAACAUCCAAUUCACCAUGGAAAAGGAAAAGGAAGGAAAACUGCCAUUUCUAGAUGUUCUGGUCAUCCGCAAAUGCAAUCAACAAUUGGGUCACACAGUUUACAGAAAACCUACACACACAGAUAGAUACCUUCAUAAAAACUCCUUUUCCAAUGAUUUUUAUUGAUGCUUUCAACAUAUAAACACAACUAAAAGGAUAAAACUCCAACCCUCACCCAAGUCAAAAAAGAAGCACAAUCAAAGCCCGACAGACCAUGCACAAAGAAUCUGCGAACCUCACCUCCUCCAACUAAACCACCUAAACUGGGUUCUACAGGCCAAUGGAUAUUCCACCAUGGACAUCAGAAGAGCUGUAAGGCCAAGAGCAAGCCAGGAGAGUAAGAUGUUCUUACCAUACAUCAAGGGAACCACUGACCGCAUAGGCAAACUGAUGAAGAAACACAACCUACAAACUAUCUACAGACCCACAAAGAAAAUCUAACAAAUGCUACGGUCAGCGAAGGACAAGAGGGAUCCUCUCACCUCUGCAGGAGUCUACCAUAUACCAUGCAGCUGUGGACAAGUCUACAUAGGGACCACCAAACGCAGCGCCCAAACACAAGUCAAAGAACAUGAAAGGCACUGCAGACUAACUCAACCAGAGAAAUCAGGCAUAGCAGAGCACCUGAUGAACCAACCUGGACACAGUAUAUUAUUUGAGAACACAGAAAUGCUUGACCACUCCAACAACUAUCAUGUCAGACUACACAGAGAAGCCAUUGAAAUUCACAAGCAUGUGGACAACUUCAACAGAAAGGAGGAAACCAUGAAAAUGAACAAAAUCUGGCUACCAGUAUUAAAAAACUCAAAAAAUCAGAACAGUAAAUAAGAAGCAACACUCUGAGACAUGGGAACUAGGGGCAGCUAACAAAGGAUGCCCCCAGGCAGAAAGUAGCCAGUAGAUGAAGCAAUUCAAUGCAAAUUAGGGUGAUUAACUGCAACAUUCAUGCUGGCCUCCAACUGACAAGAGUUCCUCCCUCACCCUGGACUUCCCACAGAUAUAUAUAAACCUUCCUUGCUGAGCUUCUCCAUACCUCACAACCCCUGAGGAUGCCUGCCAUAGAUGUGGGUGAAAUGUCAGGAGAGAAUACUUCUAGAACAUGGCCAUACAGCCUGGAAAACAUACAACAACUCUGUGAUCCCGGCCAUGAAAGCCUUCGACAACAAAUACGUAGAUGGCCUACGAAUCAGGAGAAAUUGGUUGUAGGGGGUUUCUGCAUGUAAAACCCUGAAAAUGGGAAAUGCAGUUUGAAAUGAAAGAUUAUUGCAAUAGUAAAGCAAAUAGACUCAUUAAACAAUAUUGAUUAAUAUAAUUAUUAGAAUAACUGUUCAAUUAAAAAUAUUUCACCGCUGUUUAAGAAAAACAGUGGACAUGUUUUAUUGCACAACUGCAUGGAACUCAAAAGGUGAACAACAAUGAUAUGGUAAACUAGGGCCACAUAUAUUAAUACACAUAACCCAAACUCGGCAGUGGGGACUGCUAAAUGUGGAAAUCAGCUCGGGCAGGAUGUUCUUCUUAUCCACUCCAGUUGUGUAUUAUUGAGCGCCCAGGCUCUGAUGUCUUCUCAUGUUUUAAUGGGCCAAUAUCUGCUGGCUGGCUAAUCUGAUCAGACAAUCCUCCUGGUUUAGUCCCUCCCUCAAGCUGUGAGACUUUAGAAUCUGUGGCAGGACCAACCUUGGCUAGCCACAAAGGUGAUUUUUCCUCCCAUAACAUGGAGUGCAAGUUGAGGAACCUGUUUCACCCAAAAAGUGCUCCUAGCACUGGUAACAAAACCCCAGGUUCACCCCAGACUGACCAAACAUUGGCACCAUCAGGACAGCUGGAACCAUCAGAUGAAGAGGCUUGUCUCCCAAGUCUGCAAUUUAUAGAGCAGAAAAGUGACCAGAGCAUAGGUAUUCACUGAGACUUCUUGCCAAGCAAAAUAAGAAGCUCUCUUAAUUAAGAUCAGCUGACUGCAACCAAUUUAAGUAAUAGCUCUGGCACACAUUCUCUAUUGAAAACAACCAACCAUCUGAUCUCUGGCUCUGGUAAGGUGUUCCUAUUUCUGAUUCAGAUAUUUGAAAUCUUGACCUUGGACUGGCUGAUGGCUCUUUUUGACUAUUGAAGUGGCUAGCAGUUCCUGUUGUCUCUUGGAUUCAUUGAAUUCUGUCCAUCAUGCUCCCUUGCUAGCAAACCCUCCAGACAAGUUUGUUUCCAAUAAAUCUGCCUGAUUUACUGCCUUGCUUUAUUUGAAAAAAAUCACAAUAAAUUUCUUUCUCUCUAACAAUUGUCCAUGAUAGUGCUGAAGACAGCUUGGUAAAUCAGGGCCUUUUCUUUGACCAAACUGAGGUCAUUUUCCCAUAAUUUACUAUUAGUACUUUGAGGGCCAAACCACUCAUUUCAUGCAACAACAGAGGGAGCAAACCUGAUCAACUAAUUUCUCAAAAACCCAGCCACUCAAAUGUCAUUGUUCAUUGUCCCUCAAGCUGCAAACAAGCCAUUGAUUUCCAGGCCCAACUGGAUGUCCAGCAUAGGGGGCCUCAUGUGAUAUGCACCAUCAAAUCUCUCAAACCUGAAAUAAAGUAAUUGAACAAUGUAUAUUAAUAACAGCUUGCAAACAAUUCUGGAGAGAGUGAACAUAUUUUAAAAUAUAAACCCACUACUAAAAUGCAAAAUAUGAAUGAUGAGUAAAUACCUCUUUCAUUUUAAAAGAAAGAACCUCAGCAGUGUGUAAUUUCCAUGGGCAUGUCCAGUUGAUGCUUUCUUACUCAUUGACAGUUUUAAAACAUAGAACUGCAGGCUAUUAUAAGUAGUCAGUAGGUUAUAGGGAAUCAGUGGCCAAAUACAGAGGCAUUAAAGGACUGCUGUUUUUCCCCCUCUCCUUCUCCCACAUAUACCAGUAGUUCUAUCUUGGUUCUACCUUAAGUGUCUCCAUUGAUAAUACAGUAUGGUUGACUUUGCUAGGUGACCUACGCACAGCUUCACAUCAUGAUGAAUGCAAGUUCAUAACAUCAUGCUGAUAAAAUAGGGAAGAAAUUCUCCUUACCAAUAUUGCAAUUUUUCUAUCAGAAGCUCAGACCCAGAAGCAUAAAUCCACACUAAAAUCAGCCUUGGGAAUUAAUUCUUUACAUUAGAAACAAGAUUAGUUCCUGCUUCUGAGAAAACACGGCUGUAUUAUAUGUACAGUGUUACUUGUUGCCUGGACAACACACUGUUAAUUCCAAUAGAUUCCUUUUAUCAUAAAAACGGAUUUGCACUGAAGGGCAAAGACCACCUCCAUAUGCAUCCAGACUGCAUUACAAUCUAAUACAUCACCUUAUACAUUUAUAGGUGUCUGCUUCUCCUGGCUUGCUGAAAUACUCGCCAUAAAAAUGUCCAUGUGAAAAGUUGGUUUAAAUGUCAUGUGUUUUCACUUGGAAACUACCUAGCUGAAUGAGCAUCAGUUCCAGCAAGAAAGAUCCCAGUAAGAGAAAAAAUAAAACAUGUCUUCUUCAGAAUAUGGAUGGUCACUAGGGGCUUUUGAAUAGACACUGGAUACCUCCUGUUAUUUCCUGCUCAUUCUGAUGUCAACUGAAUUUCGCAUUUAAUGAAAAUAACACUAAUGCCACCCCUUAAAAUAGUGCCAGGUUGGUUGCAAAUGCAAAAUAAGAGAGUCAUUGACAUCCAUUGGGAGAAUAUGUGGAUAGUGGGUUUCCCAGCUGAAGCCAAUGAAGUGGUGGACUGUUUGGCACCAAGCUGGGAAGUUGCAGUUGAUGUGGCAGUGCAUUCCUUUGGGGAAGUUUCUAAAACAUUGUGCAUGCAGCAGGAGGCACCUAUUGCUCCAAUUAUUUGUUAAUCAGAUUUGUAUGAGUGCCUAACAUUUACCCUUUGGGAAAUCAACCUCCUAUGCCCUAUUACAAAACUAUUUUUUCUUUGCCUUGGGUUUACUAAACAUAAAUAGUAACAGUUGUGUCUCUAGAACAUAGUGAGAUAUAAGUCAAAACUUUCCCUGCAAUUGGUUAUAUAGUUCUGUGUUUUUUUCUGGAAUAAUCAGCAAUGUCAGGUGAUGUACUCAAUGAGAAACAUGGAAAGGGAUGAUAUUUUAAAGUAAGAGAGGAUUUUUAACAAGAAAAAAAUAAUGGGUGGAUAAUUUUAGAAAAGGGUUAGACAAUAUGUUUAUUUCAUUUUAUAUUAAGCAAUUGUAAUUGCUAAGCAUGGGAUGGGACCAAGUCAAGGAUCUCAUUAAACAACAGAUCCUGGACAUAGAGUGCCAAUUAGACUUAGCCUGCACCCCAGCCUUUAGUGUUAGUGAAUCUAACAGAUAUCUCACCACCCCCAUGGCAUACCUAACAAACCUGGAGGUGCCCAAACACCGAAGGGAUUUCACUCUGGCAAGAUGCCAUGCCCUCCCAUCGGCUGUAUUGAAGGGGAGAUAUCAAAAGACCCCUUUCAAGGAGAGAUCAUGCCCAUGUGAGUCCGGACACACAGAAACAACUGAACAUGUGCUCCUUCAAUGCAUGUUCUACAGAGACAUUAGAACUAGUCUCAUCACUCCAUAGCUUCUUAAAUAUCCAGGGCACACAAGAAAGUUUUAUACCACCCUGCUGCUCUCGGACUCUACCACUAGAAUAAUUUACAGUGUUAUUAGGUUCUGCGCUGCGGCACAUAAAAUUUGAUGGAUUAUGAUCAACCCCGCAGGGCAGCACCCUGAAGGGAGCGCAGCUGGAGCAACCUGUUGCGACUGAGGUGUUGCUGGAUUUGCAGUGUGCCCCUCCCUCUCCCUCUAGUGCUCCUAGUGUUUUGAUCCCUCCUAUCAGACUCCCCCCUCCCCUUGGUCCCAUAACUGCUUUGUUAAACAUGUCUUUAAACUGUACUGUUUUAUUUAUUUAUUUUUAAAAAGCUGUUUUCUAAUUUCUUUUAUGAUUGCCUCCCUAGGGAACUGUAUUUCCCCAUACUAGGGCCUUUGUGCCCCUCUCUGUGCUGGUCAUGGACCAUAAUAAAGUCUUGAUUGAUUGAUAUUAGCCCAUUGUGUAACUUGUGUUAGUUUACCAAUCCUCUCCUAUUCCCAAUCUUGUUUUCUCUUCUAGAUUGUUUUACAGAUUUAUGUCUAUCUGUCUGUCUAUUUACCUAUGUCUAUUGUCUAUUUCUCUAAUAAUUAAAAAAUAUUGCCAAAGAUGA